rnacentral:lncRNA from 1 species
UGUACAUUUGUUCAGCUCAGUAGUCAUGUCAUAUUCUUUAUGGUGUACCUGCAGUGUUCUUUAAAAUACAUUUCCUCAUUGACAGUCAUCUGCCUACACAUGUGUAUAUAGUUAACUAAUCAGUGCUUUUUCAUGAUAUAGUCUAUUGGGGUUAGAAAUUAGAUUUUAUGACUUGUUGACAAAUCUAUCAUAAAAAAAAAUAUGUGUCCUGACUCUGACACUGCUUUCAAGUAGCUGGUGUUUCCUGUUCUGACAACCUGUAGAAAAAAGUGACUUUAAUAUGCAGAAUUUUGAAUAUAAAUGACUUUUUUAAUUAUAUCAUAGCAGAGAUAAUGGUCCUGGGCAAGCUGCUCUAGGUGGCCCUUCUUGAGCAAGGGAUUGGACAAGAUGACCUCCAGUGGUCCCUUCCAGCCAUUCUGUGAUUCUGUGAGAAAACUUCUGUCACCUCGCAAUCUAGAAUCUUGACAGUUUUCAAACACAAUUAUGCAUUUACAUGUUGAUGCUGCAAGAGCUGAAGAAGAAAUCUUCUGCAGAUUCAUGCAGGUGUAUAUACACACACUCACACCCUCUACUUCAUGGAGAGGAAGAACACAUUUAAACAGCACAAACUCUCUGUAAACAGUUGAAUGGGAUGACCUAGAAGAUUUUCUUUGAAA